AUGUGGUCGAAGCCCUUAAGUAUCCCUAUUGAGAAAACCCAGUCAGGGCAUCAUAUCAUUUAUAAACUGCUGAAUGGAGUCCACAGUCUGACCUCGCAGCUGGGCUCGCAAGAGCUGAAACCAUCACCAACGUCGAGACAUGGGACCACGGACAGAUCAAUGAGAUAUUUAUACACACACACUCAUACUCUUAAAAGAAUAGAGCACAUACGCUCUUAUAGAAAUAGUUCACACAAAAUUGAAAAUUUGCUGAAAAUGUACUCAUCCUCAGGCCAUUCAAGAUGAUGAGUUUGUUUCUUCAUCAGAACAGAUUUGGAGAAAUUUAGCGUUACAUCUCUUGCUCAUCAAUAGAUCCUCUGCAGUGAAUGUGUGCCAUAAUAUGCAAAAGCAAUCAGUUAAGGUUAAAAAGCCUUUAUGAUGGAUUUAUAUUUUUACAGACUCACUGCUUUUCACUUCACAAGACAUUAAUUGAUGUUCUGGUGUGGAUUACUUGUGAAUUAUUGUGAUGUUUUUAUCAGCUGUUUGGACUCUCAUUCUGACAGCACCCAUUCACUGCAGAGGAUCCAUUGGUGAGCAAGUGAUGUAAUGCUGAAUUUCUCCAAAUCUGUUCUGAUGAAGAAACAAACUCAUCUACAUGUUGGAUGGCCUGAAGUGAGUAAAGUUUCGUUUUUGAGCAAAUUUUCAUUUUCGGGUGAAAUAUUUCUUUAAAGUUCACUUUAAAAUGAAAAUUUAUUCAAAGGUUAUGUUGAUCAAAACUCAUAUGACUGCAUUUGUUCUGUACUGUAAAAGCACACAGAGUAAUUUUUAAAAUAAUAUUCUGGCCAUUAUUUACAAUAUAAUGGAGUUGAAGGAACAAAACAGCAUUGUUAAUUUAUCAUAAAAGUGGUUCAUAUGACUCAUGCACUAUAUUUAGAGUCUUCAGAAGUCAUACAAUAGCUUUGUGUGAGAAACCAAACAAAAUUUAAGUAGUUAUUUCAAAUGAGGUAUUGUAAAAUGUUACCCACAAGUCUUGGUAUAUAACAUGAAUAGAAAAUCACGUCAGAGAUUUGUAAUGUUAUGUCAUUUUUCAUCCACCAAUUGUGUUUUUGCACAAUGGCAGAUGGAAAUCAUCCAUAAAAACACAAGUCCAGUAGGUUUAUCAGCUUCAGAACAGUUUAUCCAUGAAAGAGAACAUCAG
ensembl:lncRNA